CAACAAUGGGCACACCCACUUUCGCACACGUCAUCCAUACUCCGUUCAAGGUGCUUACAUGCGACAGUGAGUAAUGAGUAAAAGGAAUCAACCACAAUGUUUUCAAUAACAAUUCUAUAUUACACAUAUGUGUUAAAUGUUAUCCUUUUUUCCCACUUUCUUCACGCCUCGGUGCUGAAAAAUAUCAGGCUACCCUGAAGAACCGAAACUUCGAAUUCUGCGUCGGUAAAACAGUCAACGUUGCAUUGAAAAUUAGGCCGAACAGAAACUGAUUUCAGCGCCACCUCAGUUAUUGCAUCCAACUAACGGCAUGCUAUGCUACGUGACUUUUCGCAUACAUCUAAAUGUCACACGGAUGCUACGAUAGCUAUAUUAUGUACGUCCCCGCCAAAGUAUAAAAUACAAUAGUGUUGAAAUGAAAUUACAUAACUCCUUCACCCAAAUAUUAUAUAUACAUUUCUUGUAAUAUAACAUAACCAAGGGAAGAAUAUUCCUACAAAUCGAAUGCCCAAGGUUAGUUUUUUUAAAAAUAAUUUGUCCCGAUAUGGUACUCCGAUAUAUAUAAGUGGUAUCAAAUCUUUUUCCGAAGUACGAAUGUUUAGGAAUAAGAACUAUCUAAUGUGAUAGGAACGCAGUAUAUUACUAUGAACGAAAUAAAAAGAAAAUGAUAAAUUGUAAAAUAAAAUUGUUGAUAAUUAAUAAAUUGCAAUUAAUUGAUAA